rnacentral:tRNA from 1 species
GGGGCGAUGGCGGAAUAGGCAGACGCAGCAGACUUAAAAUCUGCCGGCCGUAAGGCUGUGUGGGUUCGACCCCCACUCGCCCCA